GCUGCAUGUCGAUGACGGCGAGAUGGCCGGGGCUCCUGCGGCGGGUCCGGGCGUCGGGGUGUCCGGCGGUCAUGGGUUCAGCACCCCGUCGUCGAGCGCC
rnacentral:tRNA from 1 species